rnacentral:lncRNA from 1 species
AAUGUCAACAACAGCUUGUGGUAAAAUCUUGUCAUUAACCCCCCUCAGCUCUGAUUCUGUCCUCUUGACGCCACCCAAAAAUGGUUGAUGCAAAAUCACUCCUUUGAUAUUCAAAGGCUUAAGAUCAUCAACACAUGAAGAUGCAAUCAAACAAACAUGAUAGGCAAUGUUUCCUCCGGCGCUGUUGCCGAAGAUGAAACUGUUUGAUAAAUCCGCAUGUUGUGUCAACCAUUCGUCUUGGGAAUUCUUGAUCCACUGCAGAACUUCCAAGCAAUCUUCAUAGGCUGCCGGCACCCUAUGCUCCGGAGCAAGACGAUACUCGAUGGUUAAGAUCACUGCCGGAAUAUCAGCGGCAAAAAUACUAUAAAUAUCAUCAAAAAAGGGGUGGGCUGCGCUGCACUUUAUAAGUCCUCCACCAUGGAUAUAAAUCAGGAGAGGAAGUUUUUUGUCCGGGGAGGAUUUAAUUGGUUCUUUAGGUAGGAAUACACGAACCCAGGUGUUUUUAGAUGGGUUUACUGGGAUGUCCUUGACAAGAAGAAUAGGACUGCUAUCGUAGGAGGAGACGGGGUUGAUGGGAUCAACGCCUUCACGCGUGAUGGAGCCAUCAGGAUUCCGGAUGAAGCCCAGAGGGAUGAAGCCCUGAGCACCAUAGAGAUCUUCAGGAGGAUGGCUUGCUUCAACUUGUGCAAUCUGAUCAGCCAUGGUUCAGUGCCUAGGGAAUUAGAUGUAAUUGAUGAAGAUGAUAUAUAUUACCACAAAAAAAAAAAUAGAAGAUCAUAUAGAAUACAUGAAUGCUUUAAUUGAUCAAUUAUUCUAUGAUAUCUGAGUAGGUAAUAUCCCAAUAUAUAAAAUACGAAAGUGCUAGGAAAUAGCCAAAGUUUGAAGAAUUGUGGCUAUGAAUUGAAGGUGCUAAAGUUUGAAGAAUUGUACGUCAUGAAAGUGCUAGGAUAGAAAACUACAAGAUAAGACCUGAUGGCCCAUUCGAUUUAAUGUUUACCUAACAGGAAGCGGAUGCUUUAGUAGCAAUGAUCAAUUGUAUCAUUGUGGACUAGGCGAGUCUUCAGAUUUGACUAGGGAAAUGCAAUACCGGCAUUGUAGGGUAUGCCUGACGGCGUGAAACCGCGUUAGACGGUUCGCAUUCAAGUAAAUGUGCAAAUCCCUUUCAUAGCACAACAACACAACAACUACGCAACUAUUGGUCUCCAAUAUACCAAUUCCUAGUUUUGCUUAAAUAUUGGUCUCCAUCCAAAAUACAUCAAUAAUAUAUUCUGAACUCAUGGUUCAAUUGUGGUGGCUUGUAUACGUUGAAAAUCUUUUAGGUUUUCAAUAUUUCAUUUGACAAAUAAUGUUUUUUUUUUUAAUUCUGAAAAGUUGUUGAAAAUCUUUUAGAUUUUCAAUAUUUCAUUUGACAAAUAAUGUUUUUUUUUAAUUCUGAAAAGUUGAUUAAAAGUAGGAAAUACCAUAGCAAGCACAAUAGUUAGAUUAAAAAUGCUUAAGUAUGUAAAUCAGUGUUAGGGGUGUGCAUCAAAUUCCAAAACGGUAACUCCAAAAACCGUUAACUUGUGGAGUCCUGUGAGGGACUUAUAAACCUAAACCCCAACCCCUCCAAUACCGAUGUGGGAUAGAAAACCCCACAGGGUGCCCCGCUACUAAGAGAUAAAGACCCCCCAAACCCCUGAGAAUGAUGAAAUGACUACUUGACUAGCAUAGAUUGUUGGCUACUCUGACACGAUAUAAAAUAGUAAUAAAUGCUAAAAAAAAUAUCUAAUUGGUUUAUGUAAAAACUUGCAGAUCCAAUGCAUAUAUGUAAAUUCAAGUACAAGAUAAAUAGUAAAAUUGGACAUUGUGCCUACCUAAGUGGAGAGAACGAGAUUUAACACUUCAAUGAAAACUACAAUUUGUCAAAAGAGUUAUAUAAAGUUAAGUGUGUUGAGAACAACAUAUACUUCAGGGGCAAGAAUUCUAGGUUCUUUUAGUUAGUAAAAACUGUUUUAAAAACAAACUUGUGCAAUCAGGAUGGAGCCAUCAGGAUUCCGGCUGAAGCCCAGAGCACCAUAGAGAUCUUCACUAGGAGGAUGGCUUGCUUCAACUUGUGCAAUCUGAUCAGCCAUGGUUCAGUGCCUAGGGAAUUAGAUGUAAUUAAUGAAGAUGAUAUAUAUUACCACCAAAAAAAAAAAAAAGAUCAUAUAGAAUACAUGAAUGCUUUAAUUGAUCAAUUAUUCUAU